UAGUAAUUCUUAGUUUCCAUUUUGAAGCAACAUUAAUAAUCUGGCUCUCUUACGCAUCUGUCCAGGUAUGAGCUUCAGCUGGAGGGCAUAUUGAAUCUGCCAGAAUUUUUCGGCCAGAGCCAGCCUCAAGCUGAUGGAGGACCAAGGAACCAGUCAUCCCACCCGUCCACAUCGUGUGCAGGAAGGGUUUUAUAUUUGCUCCAUUCAUCAUCUCCCGUGGUCCUGGACAGUCUUUCCUGCAGAGUUCUACCUCAGGUUGACAGAUCCGGGCAGUGGAAAAACAGCGAUCCAAACGGAUUGGAAUUUGAUCCAACUGAACCGAUCUUCUUAUUUCUUGAAUGCUUUCUACCCGAAUCCCCGAAUUCACCUGUUUUCCCAAAACCGGCUCAUUCGACUAACUGAGGGUCAGAUUCUCGGCUUUCUGCUUCGUGCGUGCGUGCGCGCAUCUGUGUGUGCGUUGAGAAACUGCCAAGAAUUUUUAUGUGGUCCCAAGUGAGCAGCCUCAGAGUUUUUCACCGAGAAAUCAAUUUGCUCUCUAAGUGCU
rnacentral:lncRNA from 1 species